UACUGCUCUUUGAAAAAUCAGCCAAAUCAUAGGGGAGGGGAAAGGAAAUGGAGAUGUCCAAAAAAUCAGAUACAUAGAUUUGGUGUCUGCAUCAAAAGCCUUCUGUAAGCGCAAAAACUCUGCCUGCCAAAGGUGGAGGUAUUGCAGAAAUAGCCUCCUGAAUAACAUCCAACUGAUAUCGGGCCGAAAAGUGGAUUAAGAGGAUGGCUUUGUUCUGAAACAUGUCUGCGAAAUUGAUAAUCUCAGACAGA
rnacentral:misc_RNA from 1 species